GCGCCCGUAGCUCAGCUGGAUAGAGCGCUGCCCUCCGGAGGCAGAGGCCACAGGUUCGAAUCCUGUCGGGCGCGCCA
rnacentral:tRNA from 1 species